UGAAACUGUUUUAAACCUUCCAACAUGACUCAGUCAUGGAAACAAAGUAAACUGCACAUCUGAUGGCGGUGCAGGGGUGAGUGAGAUGUGGAAUGGUAAGUGAGUCAGACCAGUCAGAGACUAACCAGUCCCUCGUGUUAUCAGAGGACACCUCGGAGAGACUCAUGUUGAUAUGGACAUUAGCCAUCGCCAUUCUCUGCACCAUAACAAUGCCAGCAGCCUUUUAGGGAGUGCAAGCAAGACUGUUCUCCACUUAUCUCUUGAGGGUAAAAAUAAACACACUGAGUGAGAUAUAUGACCCCCAGAAACAGCCCCAGCCACAAUAAUAUAAGCAUCAAGAGGAAAGCCAGAGCUCGCCCCUCGGACAUUAACACAGCCUUUCUUUACACAUCUCUGCUGGUAUAUCAGAAUAAAAAUGUCAGACAUCGAAGAAGUGGAGGAGUACGAGUAAGUGUACCAGUUCAUUGCUCGAUUAUCAAUCAUCCAUCUGUGGCAAAUACUCUUACAAUAUUUCUUUUUCAGUAAUAUUACCUUGUUUAAAUAAGAAUACUGUGCAUUAGCCGCAUACUAUGGUGACCAGUGCUAUUGGUGAUUUGAAUAGCAUCUGCUUGUCAUAUACCCCACUCAUCUGAUAAGCAUAUUUAAUCUGAGAGUUCAGGCACCUGUUGUGCUUGAGCUAUGAGAACACAUGGAAAUAACAGCACUAUUCUGUCUUGUUCUCUAGGGAGCAGGAGGGUAAGUCUUGUGUUUCGUAAUAUUACUUUCAUACUCCCACUGUAAACAAGAAAAUACUGCUUUUAUUUUAAAGUAGGUCAUAAAUAGUGGCCUUGCAGCUACAUAGUUUUAUGUAAAAGAUACAGUGUGUUUUUAAUAGGGUUGUUAAAGAAUUAUGUCAUUACACUGAUAUUUGAAAUAGGAGAUAACAACACAACACUACUAUAAAACCUUUAAAAACUACCCACUUAUCAGGUUUUACACCUUUGUGGAUUAAAACAAAAAUCUUCUGACAUGUAAAAGUGCGGUUGCAAGAUAUGGUGACCUGUCAUGUAGAUUUAUGAGCGUGAAAGCUGAGCUUUUCUUGUGAGAUGCAGCAGUUUUGUUCACUCUGCUUGUCAGCUUUCAACAAAACACACCCAAAAAUGCCGCAUAUGGAAUAAGUAGAGCAGAAAGUCUGAAGCAUCUGCAUAUCAUCACUAACACAUUACUGUGUUUCAGUGUCGACAGAUCUCCUAGCUUCCAUUUUUGUGAUGUGUUUUUGUUUGUUUACUUACCUGACCUGCAUGGUGUGGCUUAGAGGUGCAAGAGGAGGAGCAGGAGGAGGUGCAGGAGGAGGUGCAGCAUGAGAAAGGUAGCUACUGCUUAUCUGCUAAAGGCAAAGGGCGCUAGCCAUUCACUAACACUAAAAUGUACUACGGUAGCAUGGCAAUACCAUAUUUUCUUUUUAAUAUAAUAUCUUUAUAAAAUCUUUUUGUAAUAUUGGCCUUGGGUGUCCCCAGAAUGUGUCUGUGAAGUUUCAGCUCAAAAUACCCAACAGUUAAUUUAUUAAAACUACUGGAAAUGCCAUUUUUGGGGUGUGUCUAAAAAAAAAGAGCUGUUUUGGAGUGUAUCGGUUUAAAUGCAAAUGAGCUGCAUAUUCCCAUCCCCGUCUCCAGAAGAGGGCAUUGUGUAUAUGUUCUCUGCAUUGAAUAUCUACAACAAUAAACAGCUGGUAGAAACAGCA
ensembl:lncRNA